CGAGGCGAGGAGGCAAUGGCAGAAGGUGGUAUCAGAAAAUGAUCCCUACAAACCCCACAAGCUCUCCACAGGGGACCACCACCCUUUUAUAAUGUUUCACUUCCCGAGGUGGGACCCCCUCCGCAGACCCUCCAAUUAGACAAUCCACUCCCACCGGAAUAUUCUAUGUGACCGAUCGCCACCGCUUGCCGCAGCCACUAUUUCCAACAUUGUCCUAUUAUAG
rnacentral:misc_RNA from 1 species